rnacentral:rRNA from 1 species
UACGUAGGGGGCUAGCGUUGUCCGGAAUCAUUGGGCGUAAAGGGUGCGUAGGCGGGUUCUUAAGUCAGAGGUGAAAUCCUGGAGCUCAACUCCAGAACUGCCUUUGAUACUGGCGAUCUUGAGUCCGGGAGAGGUGAGUGGAACUCCGAGUGUAGAGGUGAAAUUCGUAGAUAUUCGGAAGAACACCAGUGGCGAAGGCGGCUCACUGGCCCGGUACUGACGCUGAGGUGCGAAAGCGUGGGGAGCAAACAGG